rnacentral:SRP_RNA from 2 species
GGCCGGGUCCCAUACGAUAGGCUUCUCAAGCGAACCCCGCCAGGUCCGGAAGGAAGCAACGGUACUUGGGAUCUAUGCGAUAUGGGGUGCCUGGCCACU